UUGGGAGCUCUCCCAUAUGGUCGACCUGCAGGCGGCCGCGAAUUCACUAGUGAUUCGUAUUACCGCGGCUGCUGGCACGGAGUUAGCCGGAGCUUAUUCUCCCGGUACUGUCAUUAUCAUCCCGGGUAAAAGAGCUUUACAACCCUAAGGCCUUCAUCACUCACGCGGCAUUGCUGGAUCAGGCUUUCGCCCAUUGUCCAAUAUUCCCCACUGCUGCCUCCCGUAGGAGUCUGGGCCGUGUCUCAGUCCCAGUGUGGCUGAUCAUCCUCUCAGACCAGCUAAGGAUCGUCGCCUUGGUGCGCCUUUACCACACCAACUAGCUAAUCCUACGCGGGCUCAUCCCUCGGCGAUAAAUCUUUGGACUUACGUCGUCAUCCGGUAUUAGCAGUCAUUUCUAACUGUUAUUCCGAACCAAGGGGCAGAUUCCCACGCGUUACGCACCCGUGCGCCACUAAGGCCGAAGCCUUCGUUCGACUUGCAUGUGUUAGGCAUGCCGCCAGCGUUCGUUCUGAGCCAUGAUCAAACUCUAAUCGAAUUCCCGCGGCCGCC
rnacentral:rRNA from 1 species